GAUGAACGCUGGCGGCGUGCCUAAUACAUGCAAGUCGAGCGAACGGACGAGAAGCUUGCUUCUCUGAUGUUAGCGGCGGACGGGUGAGUAACACGUGGAUAACCUACCUAUAAGACUGGGAUAACUUCGGGAAACCGGAUCUAAUACCGGAUGAUAUUUUGAACCGCAUGGUUCAAAAGUGAAAGACGGUCUUGCUGUCACUUAUAGAUGGAUCCGCGCUGCAUUAGCUAGUUGGUAAGGUAACGGCUUACCAAGGCAACGAUGCAUAGCCGACCUGAGAGGGUGAUCGGCCACACUGGAACUGAGACACGGUCCAGACUCCUACGGGAGGCAGCAGUAGGGAAUCUUCCACAAUGGGCGAAAGCCUGACGGAGCAACGCCGCGUGAGUGAUGAAGGUCUUCGGAUCGUAAAACUCUGUUAUUAGGGAAGAACAUAUGUGUAAGUAACUGUGCACAUCUUGACGGUACCUAAUCAGAAAGCCACGGCUAACUACGUG
rnacentral:rRNA from 1 species